UUGUAUCUACUCUCACCUAGCCCCAGUAAUGUUGUUGUAUCUACUCUCACCUAGCCCCAGUAAUGUUGUGUUGUAUCUACUCUCACCUAGCCCCAGUAAUGUUGUGUUGUAUCUACUCUCACCUAGCCCCAGUAAUGUUGUGUUGUAUCUACUCUCACCUAGCCCCAGUAAUGUUGUGUUGUAUCUACUCUCACCUAGCCCCAGUAAUGUUGUGUUGUAUCUAUCUCACCUAGCCCCAGUAAUGUUGUGUUGUAUCUACUCUCACCUAGCCCCAGUAAUGUUGUGUUGUAUCUACUCUCACCUAGCCCCAGUAAUGUUGUGUUGUAUCUACUCUCACCUAGCCCCAGUAAUGUUGUGUUGUAUCUACUCUCACCUAGCCCCAGUAAUGUUGUGUUGUAUCUACUCUCACCUAGCCCCAGUAAUGUUGUGUUGUAUCUACUCUCACCUAGCCCCAGUAAUGUUGUGUUGUAUCUACUCUCACCUAGCCCCAGUAAUGUUGUGUUGUAUCUACUCUCACCUAGCCCCAGUAAUGUUGUGUUGUAUCUACUCUCACCUAGCCCCAGUAAUGUUGUGUUGUAUCUACUCUCACCUAGCCCCUGUAAUGUUGUGUUGUAUCUACCCUGUGCUCUUGAAAGCAGCCCCGUUCACUUGGCUUGUAAAUAGGGCACACAGGAACUAGCCACUUCCUGACUGAUCUCCUCUCUUCUUUAGAUAUCUCUUUAGUCAGAGACCAAAUCAUUUGUAUCACACUGAAAUGCACUCCUAGGUGUUGCUAUGUGCUAAAACAGACUAAGACUUAGAAGCUAAGUGGUAUUGAAGGACCGUGGUAUUAGACAGUUAGUGGCAUCCAUUUAGUUUUAAAGGGGCUUUUAAGGCUAUGAAAUCUUAAUGCUUUGUCAAGUGUUUUCUUAUUUUAUCUUAGCAUUAGGUUUAACCUUGGUCUGCUUCAUAGGUUUGAGGGUAUUGGGUAUUGACCAAUUGAAACAGAAGGAUCUGAUCCAUUUUGAUGUGAACUCAAAUGUGGUUCCUACCUAACAUUUGUCCUUUACAAAUGCACAGCAAGGAUGAUAAUGCCUUGUCCAAGACUUUAGGAAGUAAAAUAUGUAAACAUGAUUUGUUUUAUAUUUUUAAAGUUUAAAGUUGUACUAUUAGGUCUAACAGUAGAUACUAUGUCAAUUCAUCUAUUGUUAUUUUGAAUAUCAAAUUGCACAUAACACAUUUUCUUACAAACUACUUAAUAUUUAAGUUAUUGAUCUUGUCACACACUCCUUUUGGUUGGUUGGUCCGUCAUUGUAGAAAAACAAUAGAUUUAUCCCCUCAAACUGGCUUAUAGCUGUAGCUGAGUUGCAAAUGUAUGUUGAGGUUUGUAAUAUUGUUAUGUAAUAUAUUUCAUUGUACAAAUGCUCUUACUAAUAAUUGUACUGAUAAGGUUUAUACGCCCGUAGACAUUUUUGACACGGUUUAACAUGUAGCUUUAUAAAGCAUGUCUGAAUAAAUGUUGUUUUCUGUAUGAAAUAUCUUCCGUCAGAUUUGUUGGAUGUGGUACAACUAAUUCAUUUACAUUAAUCAUAUCCAUGUUUAGUUUUUUACUUC
ensembl:lncRNA